AACACACACAUGCUCCCACCCUGAUUCAAGCAACAAUCCCCCCGAAACUAUAACCAUUUAUUCAAUGAGUGCUCGCUACUGCAGCUUUGCUAGGAGGAUCUGGUGCAGACUUUUGAGUGAUGUCAUUGAUAUUGUGAACUUUCUUGACAGGGCAGUGACGACGAUAAAUGAUGUUAUUACUUGGCCAAACUUCAAUGGAACUGGCAUUGGC
rnacentral:lncRNA from 1 species